AUAAGGUGUAACAAUUUAAUUGUUACAUAAUAGGGAAGACCGGUGAAAAACCGGCGCGGUCCCGCCACUGUAAUUGGUAGCAACCUACACAUAGUCACUGUUUCAACAAAUGGGAAGACGUAGGGAUGUGAUGAUCAAAAGCCAGGAGACCUGCCUUAUUAG
rnacentral:ncRNA from 1 species